rnacentral:lncRNA from 1 species
GCAUGGCUCCAUGAAGCAAGAGGAGGAGGCAGAGCGCGAGAGAUCCCGUCCGCCCCAGCCGCGUCUGGGCCAGGAGAAAAGCAAAACCAUAUUCCUGCUGCUGUCAGUUUUGAUGCACUGAGAAAACUUCAGAGACCUAAGCUUUUUCCAGAGAAGAGAAGCUUUACUGGUGUUCCAGCCCUAAGAAACUUAAAUCCUCAGUGUGACACAACUCAGUCCUUCUACUGCAGCAGCUCUUUUAUAAAAGCCUCCCAAAGCUCCAAGAAGGAACAAAGAAUGUGACCCAGUAAGCUCACACCAUAAGUCUAUAUUGCAGAAACCUUUGUUCAACAAAACUGCAGAUGCUCUGUUGAAUCCACUGGAGAUUGUCCUGAUACUAAGGACAAGCUCAUAUGACAUUAACAGACAAGACACUUUUCAGAAAGACAGGUAAGUCAUUUGUUAAAAUCUCACUACUGUUGUUUAACAGAAACAUAUAUAUGCAUGUAUAUGUGUGUACUGUAUGGAAAAAGUGGAAUUAGAGUUUAUCUAGAAAAGAAAAAAUUACCUCAUCUAAGUGCAGAAAUGAAUAAUACUUAAACCAUACCAUACAAUUCUCUAUCAUAUUUCCACAGAUAAGUCAAAAAUUUAAAAAAUCUUAUUGUUCAUGCAUAAAUGCAGAAAACAAUAUCUCUAGUAUAUGUUUGUGUUCUAUUGUACUUUCACAGAAGGUGUUUGAUACUUAAUACUGUGUUUAUUAAGAAAAAUCUUUGCAAUGGUUAUGGAAUUAAAAUUUCAUGUAAAAAUGAUUAUGUAGAUCAAGAAAAGUUGCAAUUUUCUGGAUUCCUGAUAUUUUAAAUAAAAGUAGUUUCCAAAGGC